ACCAUUCACCAGAGGUGCCGUUACGCGGCUGAGAUUGCCAUAAGGCUAAACUCUUGGAACCUGAUCUGGAUCAUACCAGCGUAGGAAGAGUGAAAAAUGUUUGUC
rnacentral:ncRNA from 2 species